GAGAAAGAGAGAGAGAGAGAGAGAUUUGUUGGAAGAUAAUGUGCCACAGGCAUAAAAAAGCUCCAGAGAUAAGGUGGUAUAAAAGGAAUCUAGAAAGUGAUGAUAAGAAAGAGAAGAAAAAAAAGAAACUGUGAUCAAACCAAGCUGCACAUCUCAAACUCAGUCGUCCUGAACUCAGCUCACAAAAAAAAGAGUCGGCUUCUGACAGAAAUAUUAAACAUACCAUCUACCAUGCAGAUGCAAAUACUGGAGUUGUGCAAUCUUAUUUAGUUAUUUAGUUAUUUAUUAUUAUUAUUUUUUUAUUACAAAUGACUUCUACCUUUGAGAACAAUUGUUUAUUUGCAACUUUGGAACAUAAAGCUGAAUAUAGCACAAUGUUUUCAGGUCUCAUAAAUAAAACCAAAUACCUUCCUGAAUAGAGGGCCUGCAGAGGAAAAAUGCUAGUUAUGAAUAAUUUUAUCCAGCAUUAAUCUACUUCCGUAUGAAAUGAAAAAGAUGUCUGCAGACAGAGAAGAGGGAUAAUGAAAUAGGUAAAGUUUCCCAAAAGGGUUUUCUUAAAGAACGCUGUUUACGCCACAGCACUCUUGAGUUCUCAAGUAUUGUCAGUAGGUUCUGAUGAAUUAAUGCCCUCCUACAGCAGCUCUGACAGCAGCACUGGCUGUGAUUCAAAUAAUAGGUUUAUAUUAAUGCACUUGUUUUAAUUCAGUAUUUUUUCUAUAGCAACAUCUCAUUCACAGGCACUAUUCACAGGUCUAAUAAUAAACAGAUUUCAAAAAUGUGUUAUUUAACAAAGACAAAUGUGUAACUGUUGAUACUGGUGAAGCUUUCUGCAUAAAGAAAUAUAAUUAUUUAACAUAUGUGGAAGAAGAUGCCAGUGUCAGCAUUUUUUAAAGGUCAGUAGGUUUUCAGGGAAAGCACAAGACAGGAGUUCCAGAAGUUCUCCAAGUUUCUCCAUACUGUAAGUUCACCUUUUUUCCCCCUUAUAUUCUUUAAGAGGGAGAAUAAAGAGAGGAAAUGGUUAAUUAUAUGUAUUUAAAUGAUGACGAGAAAUAACUGGAGUAGUAUUGGAUACUACUCACCUACUUUGUGGUGGUAACAGUAACCAUGUCUGUUAUCUGCUAACUUUACUCAGAUGUUGAUUAUUUUGCUCUAAACACACACCCCACUGUGUUCUAUAAUGUAUAUAGUUCACCACUAUUCUUCAUAACUAUACUUCAUAAUGCUGUGAUUAAAUUUCUGCAAAGUCUACAAGUAGGACUUUUGAUUUAUUUCGAUAUUACGUACACUGAUGUUUAAGGUUCACUAAUGUGGAUUAAUCCACUAAAGAUAUUUAUAUGAAAGGACUUUCUAUAUCUAUUGAUUAUUAACUCACUUACCUCUAGUUUCAGUAUUGCAGAAUGUAUAAUGUUCUAGAUAUUGAACCUUCACUAACUGUAGUAUACAGUAUUAUGCCCUCAAUCUGAUUAUUCUACAUUAUGAAACCCAGUAGACCUUUUGUCCAUUUGUCAUUAUAUCAAACGCUAACUAAGCAAGUCUAAAUAGAAAUGUAUUAGUUUGAUAGAAAAUGAGCAUGAGCAAGCAGAGAAAUAGAAAGAUAUGCUGGAAUGAUUGUAUAUGUAUGUGUUACUCUAGAGAGCCGUUCCAGAUUUGUUGAUGCCUGACCUCCAAGCAGCACUGCAGGGGAGAUGGUGAAGUGCACACAGUCAUUUUGUUCAAUGUUGCAUCUUGUUACAAGAGACCAACUCAUUGUGAUACACAGAAUGCUGACUGACCUGUGCGGUUGUGGUCUGCUUGCCCUGUCGGUUGGACGCCGUGGUGGUGGUGAUGUCCGUCAGCGAGGGCGAGGCUUCAGAGCGGUUGCCAGAGGCAGAGGCACUGGACUGGGGCGUGAUAGACGAGGAGGGCAAGUCACCGACCAGACGGGCACUGCCCUCCACGCGCACGUUGGGUUCGCCCUCAGCAGCCAUGUUGAGCACUUUGAGGCCGUUGUAGUAGAGGCCAGACAACUGGCCUUGAAAUGGCCGACUACCUCGUUCGCCACCACCGAUCUUUAUUGUAGUCUGACUGUUGAAGAUGGUGAGCUGUCGACCUGCCAAUGGACAACGUUACACAAAUACAGGAGUGUUCAACAGCUCGCUCACGCUAGGAGUGCACACAAACAUACACAUACAUACAUUCUAUGUCUCUCUCGCUCUCACACACAUACAUGCACACUUAGGAGUGAUGGAAGCCGACAAUGAAACACACGACAAAAGUGUUCUUAUUCUUCCUGAGGAAGCAUGGAAGCAAUAAGUUACUCUAACGCAAACAGCAACACCAGUAAUUUAUCGACUCUGAUUUAAUGGGCUGCUGUAGACAAUGCAAACAAAUGGAGACGAUGAAGAAACUGGCUCCCGAGUAAUCAAUGGAGCUUUGCUAAAAGGACAAUCAAAUGCUUUUGGGUGGUAAAAUGUUCACCCUCUGUUUGUGAAAGUAACAGCAGAAGCAAGAAAAUACAGAUGGAAAUGAUUUGUUUUCACAGUUCGUGAGCAAAACUUGGUUGCUGAUGAGAUUGCCUUUCAGCAAGGGCAGUGGCAAUUUAAAUUAAUUAGACUGAAAUAAGGCGCAUGUGGGAUGGUUUUACAACUACAUGACACAUAAACCAUUCAUCAUGAUAAUAACUUCAUUAAAAAAGAAAAACAAAGAAACAAAGUUCAAAAUCAAUCACUCUGAACAUUUCAAUUUAUUACAUACAUUACAGCAUGCACUCAGAAGUCUUUUCCUUUCUUAUGGGUUUAAUUUGCUUGUUAAAGGGACUUCAUAUCUGAUGCCAAUAAUCAUUGAAGCUAUUUAAGAUGCAUUUGCUUUGAUUUUUAAACUCUGCACUUUAGCAGUUUCCAAAAGCAAUACGUUUAGCAUAAAAUAAAUGUACAUAAAUGAAUUAAAACAUCAGUCAUCACUAUGAAUUGAAAAUGUAAAAAAGUACUUUAACUGCUGAUUUAUAGUUUUACAUUGGGAAAAAUUAUUUAAGUAUUUUAAUGAUACAUAGAUAUAAUUUUAAUGAUUGCGCUAACUUUAUUAUCAGUAUAUUACCAGUCCCUUUAACCUGUAAUUGCCAGGUAAAACUGAUUACAUAUGCAGUAUAUAAACACACAUUAUUCUACUGUACAAUGCAAAUAUUACAGACUACAUUGGUUUAAAGUUUUAAAAUUUGUUAUACAGGGGAUUUAUGUUUUAGAUGGUUUAUUAUUUGUGCAGUAUAUCACUUGAUUAUGAUGAAAUUAUAUUUUAUUUAAAGUUUUAAUCAAUGUUUUUACCUUUGUCGAGUAGCCAAUCGUCAACUACUCGACCGAGCCGAUAUGGGAUUCGCUGUCUAGCAAUCGCCAGGCGUUCGUUAUCAAUGUUGCCUUUAAAGUUUAAAGAGACAUUUCAUUGUUAAAAUCUGAAAGGUGAAAGAUUAAAACCGUGAACAAACUG